rnacentral:rRNA from 1 species
UACAGAGGUCCCAAGCGUUGUUCGGAUUUACUGGGCGUAAAGGGUGCGUAGGCGGUUGGGUAAGUCUGACGUGAAAUCUCCGAGCCUAACUCGGAAACUGCAUUGGAUACUAUCCGGCUCGAGGAAUGGAGGGGAGACUGGAAUACUUGGUGUGGCAGUGAAAUGCGUAGAUAUCAAGUGGAACACCAGUGGCGAAGGCGAGUCUCUGGACAUUUCCUGACGCUGAGGCACGAAAGCCAGGGGAGCAAACGGG